AUACGGAGGGUGCGAGCGUUACUCGGAGUCACAGGGCGUAAAGCGUCCGUAGGCGGUCGGGUAAGUCGGGUGUGAAAGCCCCGGGCUCAACCUGGGAAGUGCACCCGAUACUGCUCGACUCGAGUGCGGGAGAGGAUGGCGGAAUUCCCGGUGUAGCGGUGAAAUGCGUAGAGAUCGGGAGGAACACCAGUGGCGAAGGCGGCCAUCUGGCCCGCAACUGACGCUGAGGGACGAAAGCGUGGGGAGCAAACAGGAUUAGAAACCCUAGUAGUCC
rnacentral:rRNA from 1 species